UACGAAGGGGGCUAGCGUUGUUCGGAUUUACUGGGCGUAAAGCGCACGUAGGCGGAUUGUUAAGUCAGGGGUGAAAUCCUGGAGCUCAACUCCAGAACUGCCUUUGAUACUGAAGAUCUUGAGUUCGGGAGAGGUGAGUGGAACUGCGAGUGUAGAGGUGAAAUUCGUAGAUAUUCGCAAGAACACCAGUGGCGAAGGCGGCUCACUGGCCCGAUACUGACGCUGAGGCACGAAAGCGUGGGGAAGCAAACAGG
rnacentral:rRNA from 1 species